GCGAUGUUGGCUCAGUUGGUAGAGCGUUGGUCUCAUAUGCAGUAUGAUUAGGUUUAACACUAGAGUAAUCCAAAGGUCGUGAGUUCGAGCCUCACACGUCGCA